AACAAGGAUUCCCCUAGUAACGGCGAGUGAAGCGGGAAGAGCUCAAAUUUGAAAUCUGGCUGCCUUCGGUGGUCCGAGUUGUAAUCUAGAGAAGUGUUUUCCGUGCUGGCCCAUGUACAAGUCCCUUGGAACAGGGCGUCAUAGAGGGUGAGAAUCCCGUACUUGACAUGGACUCCCAGUGCUCUGUGAUACACUUUCAAAGAGUCGAGUUGUUUGGGAAUGCAGCUCAAAAUGGGUGGUAAAUUCCAUCUAAAGCUAAAUAUUGGCGAGAGACCGAUAGCGAACAAGUACCGUGAGGGAAAGAUGAAAAGCACUUUGGAAAGAGAGUUAAACAGUAUGUUGAAAUUGUUUAAAAGGGAAACGAUUGAAGUCAGUCGUGCAGUUUGGACUCAGCCGGUUCUGCCGGUGUACUUCCAUUCUGUGGGGUCAACAUCAGUUUUGCUCGGUGGAAAAGGGCUGGAGGAAGGUAGCACUCUCGGGUGAACUUAUAGCCUCCUGUCGCAUACACUGGGUGGGACUGAGGAACGCAGCAUGCCUUUUGGCCGGGGUUCGCCCACGUACAUGCUUAGGAUGUUGACAUAAUGGCUUUAAACGACCCGUCUUGAAACACGGACCA
rnacentral:rRNA from 1 species